rnacentral:rRNA from 1 species
CAAACCAAAGCUGGCGACCGGCGCACGGGUGAGUAGCACGUAUCCAACCUGCCUCAUACUCGGGGAUAGCCUUUCGAAAGAAAGGUUAAUAUCCGAUAGCAUAUAUUUCCCGCAUGGGUUUUAUAUUAAAGAAAUUCGGUAUGAGAUGGGGAUGCGUUCCAUUAGUUUGUUGGGGGGGUAACGGCCCACCAAGACUACGAUGGAUAGGGGUUCUGAGAGGAAGGUCCCCCACAUUGGAACUGAGACACGGUCCAA